UUACUGUUGCUACGUCUGACAAGCCCUGGCGCUCUCAUGCCACACAUCAGGUUCUCACGCAGUGAAAAAUACAUCACGGGCAAAGAAGACACUGACAACACACUGACAGACAAGACGGAACAGGAUUUAUUGUUUUAAAUUC